rnacentral:rRNA from 1 species
CAGCCGCCACGGUAAUACGUAGGUGGCAAGCGUUGUCCGGAAUUAUUGGGCGUAAAGGGCUCGCAGGCGGUUUCUUAAGUCUGAUGUGAAAGCCCCCGGCUCAACCGGGGAGGGUCAUUGGAAACUGGGAAACUUGAGUGCAGAAGAGGAGAGUGGAAUUCCACGUGUAGCGGUGAAAUGCGUAGAGAUGUGGAGGAACACCAGUGGCGAAGGCGACUCUCUGGUCUGUAACUGACGCUGAGGAGCGAAAGCGUGGGGAGCGAACAGGAUUAGAGACCCCUGUAGUCCCUGUCUCUUAUAC